UUCUCUUCGGAGCAUCGGUGACAGGUGGUGCAUGGUUGUCGUCAGCUCGUGUCGUGAGAUGUUGGGUUAAGUCCCGCAACGAGCGCAACCCUUAUCCUUAGUAGCCAUCAUUGAGUUGGGCACUUUAGAGAGACUGCCGUGGAUAACACGGAGGAAGGUGGGGAAGACGUCAAAUCAUCAUGCCCCUUAUGUCUCGGGCUACCCACGUGCUUCAAUGGCUGGUAACAAAGUGAAGCGAGACGGCGACGUUAAGCAAAUCACAAAAACCCAGUCCCAGUUCGGAUUGUAGUCUGCAACUCGACUACAUGAAGUCUGGAAUCGCUAGUA
rnacentral:rRNA from 1 species